AUAUUAGUAAAUUUGUUGAGCAGGUGCAAUGUGGAGGAAAAAAAAGAGAAAUAAAUACAGAAAAAAAUAUCUAGUUCAUUGGACAAUUUAGUACAUUCCCUAAGAGACAGCAUAUGAAUUGUGAUGGUCUCACCAGGUGCUGCUGCACCUUGAAAUUGCAACCAGUGAAAUACACACUAUAAUGUUUCUAGAGCUUUUGGAUUCCCAUGAGACAAAUGCAUUUGAAAAGGCUUGCAGGUUAUACAUGGAAAAUAAUUGUAAGUAGUAUAUAGGGAAUCUGAUGAGUAGGAAAGGCUGUUCACAGCAAGAUUAAUACACAGUAUUAAACUCAAAUCAAUAAAAUUCUCUCUGGACUCAAGCACUAUCUGGUUUUCAUUCAGGUGGUAAAACUGAAAGAUGAAACAAACCAUUCCAUCACUUCACCAGAUAGUGAUACAGAAUUAUAGCCCAGAGAUGGAAUUUUUAAAAUAUUAGAAACUUCUCUUAUGCUCAAAAUAGCUUCAUAUCAAAUAGGAUUGUACCCAAAUACACUAUUUUUUUUCAUAUAGAGAAAAACAAAAGGAUUUUUUUGCCUUAUCUUCUAUUACAUCAAAACUAUUCUGUUAAUGGAUUUAAAUUAUAGUCAGAACACACUGACCACAUUUGCCAGUAUUAAUGUAUUGCUUCCCAACUUCAAACCCACUUUAUCUUCCCUGUGCAGACUAGACUUCUAUUUUGCGAGUUGGCUUACUAUUAGCUAUGGCCAUUCCAGAGUCCUGGAGGGACACUGCCAAGCUCCAAGUGGGAAACGGGACUUGCAGGACGUCAGUGGCUACUGGUUUUCCUGGAAAUUCAGGAAUAAAGGCCCAUCAACAAAAACCACCAUAAAAAUGGUGACUCUCAGUUUUCAAGGCAAGCUCCUUCAUCACCAUAGUGGUAAACAGCCCUAUCCAGUGGCAACCGUACUUUCUCCUUAAAGCUCUGAAUCUCAGCCUUGCAGGACCUUCUCCUCAGUUCCUUCCUUGUUAACAUGCCCCCCAGCUCUGAGGGUAGUAGUUGCUCCCUAAAAAUGCCACCUCUAUAGAUGUUACUGUUCUUUUUUAUCUCUUUUAAUAGUUACUCACCUUUUAUCUCAUAAAAAAAUUCAUUAUAUCAAAUUUCCCUUGAUCAAAUGACUGGUGUGGUUUCUGGCUCCUGACUAGAUCCUGCCUGAUAUAUUAUAUGUUUGGCAAUAUGCCACAUGGAUACUUAUCAUCCCCCUUAAUAUUACCAGAAGUUGGGAAACUAAGACACAAAUUCAGCCAAAAGAUAUCUGAGAAAUUUGAAUAUGAACUCUCAUUAAUCCAUCAAUCCACUUACAAGAACUUAUCCUAGAAAAAUAAUUGGAUAAGUGUCCAAAAAUUAGUACGUAAGAAUGUUUUCAUCAAAGUUGAAAAGAUCAGAAACAGAUUAAAACUAAUUAAUAUUAAAAAGAAGAUUUAUUAAAGGAAACCUCAAUGUCACAGAAGCCAAGCACUAUAAAUGAGUAUAGCUAAACAGGAUUCAAUAACUGGAGAGUUACCAGAACCAGGACAAUGAGUUUCUCCAUUUGUUUCAUAAAAGACACAUCAUCCAUCCCUACAACUUGUGUUCCUACUUCCUUAAUCUGCCCUCUCCCUUCUUUAUUUCCAUAUGACUGUGAUAUGCUAUAUUGCUCACUUAAAAUGUCAAUUGCUUAUUGUCUCUCAUCUCCAGAAUGUACUGGAGAUGAACUCUAUAAACACAGAGUUUUUACAGAGUUUAUAGAACUCUAUAAAAACAAGAGAUCAUUGUUUUAUUUUUUAUUGUAUCUCAAGCAGCUAGAACAGUGAGUGGCACAUAGUAGGUGCUCUGUAUGUCUACUGUAUUUUUUUCCUCUCUCAAUAGACUUAUUAUUUCUUUGUAAACUUCAAGUUGCAUAUGGUCAAAUAUGGUCAACUACAACUCCCAACUUAUAUUAUCAGUGACUAGCACAGUUUAUUAGUUCACAAUUCCUAAUUGUUAAGGAGGAAAUGUGACUAUUACUACUCAUCUCAUAACUUUGGGUUAAGCUGCUUUAUAAAACCCCAAUUUAAUAUCCUUGUUGUGGGGAGAGGGGUUGGUGUAAUGUCUUAUUUCACUGCCUAUUCAAAAAUUUCUAAAGAUAUAUCAUUGGGUCAGGAAAUGUCCUGCAUCUCUAAUACAAAAGUAAUUAUUUCUUAUAGCAUUAUUUUCAGUGACUAUUCAGUACCAUUAUUUUUUAUGUAAAAGUAGAAACUAAGUGUCCAUUAAGUUAUAUCCAUACAUCAAAAGUAAUGACAGAGUCUAUAUUGAUUCACAUGAAAAUAAAUUCAUCAUAUAUAUCAUAAAAUAGAACAAGAACUAAGAUUUCAAGUCUAUAUUUUAU
rnacentral:lncRNA from 1 species